AUUGAACGCUGGCGGCAUGCCUUACACAUGCAAGUCGAACGGUAACAGGUCUUCGGACGCUGACGAGUGGCGAACGGGUGAGUAAUACAUCGGAACGUGCCCAGUCGUGGGGGAUAACUACUCGAAAGAGUAGCUAAUACCGCAUACGAUCUGAGGAUGAAAGCGGGGGACCUUCGGGCCUCGCGCGAUUGGAGCGGCCGAUGGCAGAUUAGGUAGUUGGUGGGAUAAAAGCUUACCAAGCCGACGAUCUGUAGCGGGUCUGAGAGGACGACCAGCCACACUGGGAAUGAGACAGGGCCCAGACUCCUACGGGAGGCAGCAGUGGGGAAUUUUGGACAAUGGGCGAAAGCCUGAUCCAGCAAUGCCGCGUGCAGGAUGAAGGCCUUCGGGUUGUAAACUGCUUUUGUACGGAACGAAAAAGCUCCUUCUAAUACAGGGGGCCCAUGACGGUACCGUAAGAAUAAGCACCGGCUAACUACGUGCCAGCCGCCGCAGUAA
rnacentral:rRNA from 1 species